CUGAUGCCCUAUGGCUGACCAGCAGAAGUGCCCCUUUUGGAGGAGACUACUGCCUUGAAAGGCACAGCUACACUCCUGCCCUGCUCUGGCAUUUCAGACCUUCGAGGAAGAGGAAGUGGGCAAAGAGGAAGAGGAAGGGAGCAGAGAAAAAGAGGAAAGGAGCAUAGAGAAAGAGAAACGGAGCAGAGAGAAAGAGAAACGGAGCAGAAAAGAAGAGGAAAGGAGCAGAGAGGAAGAGGAAAGGAGCAGAGAGGAAGAGAAACGGAGCAGAGAGGAAGAGAAACGGAGCAGAGAGGAAGAGGAAAGGAGCAGAGAGAAAGAGGAACGGAGCAGAGAGGAAGAGGACAGGGGCAGAGAGAAGACAUCUCGGGAGAUCCUGGCUGUUCUGAGCCAACUGCCGGAGAAGCACGAUGCUCUCCUGAAGCACAUCACUCAGCUGGAGGCCCAGUUGAAGUACCCAGCAUGCCCUGCAGGGAAAGGAAUCUCUGCAAGAGACCCUGGAGCAGAUGGAGAAGCUGA
rnacentral:lncRNA from 1 species